UACGUAGGGUGCAAGCGUUGUCCGGAAUUAUUGGGCGUAAAGAGCUCGUAGGCGGUCUGUCGCGUCUGCUGUGAAAACUCGGGGCUUAACCCCGGGCCUGCAGUGGGUACGGGCAGACUAGAGUGCGGUAGGGGAGACUGGAAUUCCUGGUGUAGCGGUGAAAUGCGCAGAUAUCAGGAGGAAUACCGAUGGCGAAGGCAGGUCUCUGGGUUAACACUGACGCUCAUGCACGAAAGCGUGGGGAGCAAACAGG
rnacentral:rRNA from 1 species